rnacentral:rRNA from 1 species
GACGAACGCUGGCGGCGUGCCUAAUACAUGCAAGUCGAGCGGAGUUUUUAAAAGCUUGCUUUUAAAAACUCAGCGGCGGACGGGUGAGUAACACGUGGGCAACCUGCCCUGUAGACUGGGAUAACUUCGGGAAACCGAAGCUAAUACCGGAUAAUCAUAGAAGUUGCAUAGCUUCUAUGUAAAAGUUGGGUUUACCUAACACUACAGGAUGGGCCCGCGUCGCAUUAGCUAGUUGGUAAGGUAACGGCUUACCAAGGCGACGAUGCGUAGCCGACCUGAGAGGGUGAUCGGCCACACUGGGACUGAGACACGGCCCAGACUCCUACGGGAGGCAGCAGUAGGGAAUCUUCCGCAAUGGACGAAAGUCUGACGGAGCAACGCCGCGUGAGCGAUGAAGGCCUUUGGGUCGUAAAGCUCUGUUGUUAGGGAAGAACAAGUGCUAUUCGAAUAGGGUGGCACCUU